rnacentral:tRNA from 1 species
UCCCUGAUGGUCCAAUGGUGAAGACCUUGCCUUCCAAUGCAGGGGGUGUAGGUUCAAUCCCUAGUCGGGGAG